rnacentral:rRNA from 1 species
AGGGCGUAUGGGGAAUGCCUAGGCACACUCCGGCGAAGAAGGACGCAGCAAACAGCGAAAUGCGACGGUGAGCGGUAAGCACGUGAAGAGCCGUCGAUAUCCGAAUGGGGGAACCCACACGGAGUCAUAUCCGUGUAUCACAUGUCGAAUACAUAGACAUGAUGAGGCGAGACGCAGGGAACUGAAACAUCUAAGUACCUGCAGGAAGAGAAAAUAAGAAUGAUUUUCUGAGUAGCGGCGAGCGAAAGGGAAAGAGCCCAAACCGAUCUGAGGAUCGGGGUAGUAGGAUCAUCGAGAAAUCUGACAGAGGAUCAUAGAGGAAUCACAUGGGAAGGUGAGCGAGAGAGGGUGAGAGCCCCGUACUCGAAAUGAGAGACUGGAGAGAGAUGACACCUGAGUAGGGCGGGACACGAGAAAUCCUGUCUGAAUCAGCCGGGACCAUCCGGCAAGGCUAAAUACGAGAGAGUGACCGAUAGUGAACCAGUACCGUGAGGGAAAGGUGAAAAGAACCCCGGGAGGGGAGUGAAAGAGAACCUGAAACCAUAUGCCUACAAGAAGUCAGAGCCCGUUAAAGGGUGAUGGCGUGCCUUUUGUAGAAUGAACCGGCGAGUUACUGUAUGGAGCGAGGUUAAGCAGGAUAUGCGGAGCCGAAGCGAAAGCGAGUCUUAAGAGGGCGCGAGUUGCAUGCAGUAGACCCGAAACCGGGUGAUCUAGCCAUGACCAGGUUGAAGUUGGGGUAAAACCCGAUGGAGGACCGAACCGACCCCCGUUGAAACGUUGGCGGAUGAGUUGUGGCUAGGGGUGAAAUUCCAAUCGAACCCGGAGAUAGCUGGUUCUCCCCGAAAUAGCUUUAGGGCUAGCGUCGAGAGAAGAGUUGCGUGAAGGUAGAGCACUGAAUAUGUGAUGGCCCCAUCUCGGGGUACUGAGCAUAAUCAAACUGCGAAUGUCACGCCAACAUGCUCGGCAGUCAGACAGCGGGUGAUAAGGUCCGUUGUCAAGAGGGAAACAGCCCAGACCAUCAGCUAAGGUCCCAAAAUGUAUGCUAAGUGGAAAAGGAUGUGGAGAUGUACAGACAACUAGGAGGUUGGCUCAGAAGCAGCCAUCCUUUAAAGAGUGCGUAACAGCUCACUAGUCGAAUGACUCUGCGCCGAUAAUUUACCGGGGCUAAGCAUACUACCGAAGCUAUGGAUCCCAAGGGAUGGUAGGGGAGCGUUCCAUGAACGGAGAAGUACGACCGAAAGGACGUGUGGAGAUCAUGGAAGAGAGAAUGCCGGUGUGAGUAGCGGAACGUGGGUGAGAAUCCCACGCACCGAAAACCCAAGGUUUCCAGAGGAAGGUUCGUCCGCUCUGGGUAAGUCGGGACCUAAGGCGAGGCCGAAAGGCGUAGUCGAUGGACAACAGGUAGAGAUUCCUGUACCCGUAUAUAUGUGAAGGAAUGACGGAGAGAGGAAGCUGCAGCCAGCGGCUGGAAGAGCUGGUGCAAGCGAGAUAUCGGGAUGGCAGGCAAAUCCACCAUCCGAAACGAGAAGGCGUGAAGCGUACGGAAAGCUACGGCGAGUACGGAAGGCAGUGGAGGAACUUCCAAGAAAAGUUUCUAACGUUAAGUAUAUAUGGCCCGUACCGAAAAUGGACACACAUGGGUGAGGAGAGAAUCCUAAGGUGAGCGAGAGAACUAUAGCUAAGGAACUCUGCAAAAUGACUCCGUAACUUAGGGAGAAGGAGUGCUCAUAGAGAUAUGAGCCGCAGUGAAACGGCCCAAGCGACUGUUUACCAAAAACACAGCUCUCUGCUAAGCCGCAAGGCGAAGUAUAGGGGGUGACGCCUGCCCGGUGCUGGAAGGUUAAGGGGAGGGGUUAACGCAAGUGAAGCCCUGAACUGAAGCCCCAGUAAACGGCGGCCGUAACUAUAACGGUCCUAAGGUAGCGAAAUUCCUUGUCAGGUAAGUUCUGACCCGCACGAAUGGCGUAAUGAUUUGGGCACUGUCUCAACAGCCCGCCCGGCGAAAUUGUAGUACUGGUGAAGAUGCCAGUUACCCGCAACUAGACGGAAAGACCCCAUGGAGCUUUACUGUAGCCUAAUACUGAAGAUCGGUAAUGCAUGUACAGGAUAGGUGGGAGCCAGCGAAACCCGGGCGUCAGCUCGGAUGGAGGCAACCUUGGAAUACCACCCUUGUAUUGCUGGUUUUCUAACCUGCGGCCAUGAAUCUGGUCGGGGGACACUGUUAGGUGGGCAGUUUGACUGGGGCGGUCGCCUCCAAAAGCGUAACGGAGGCGCUCAAAGGUUGGCUCAGCACGGACGGAAAUCGUGCAUAGAGUGCAAACGCAUAAGCCAACUUGACUGCGAGACCGACGGGUCGAGCAGGUACGAAAGUAGGAGUUAGUGAUCCGGUGGUAUGUGAGUGGAAAUGCCAUCGCUCAACGGAUAAAA